GUGCCAGCCGCCGCGGUAAUACGUAGGGGGCGAGCGUUGUCCGAAUUUACUGGGCGUAAAGCGCGCGUAGGCGGACCUUUAAGUUGGGGGUGAAAUCUCAAGGCUUAACCUUGAAACUGCCUCCAAAACUGGGGGUCUUGAGGUAUGGAGAGGGAAGUGGAAUUCCUGGUGUAGCGGUGAAAUGCGUAGAUAUCAGGAGGAACACCCGUGGCGAAGGCGGCUUCCUGGCCAUAUCCUGACGCUGAGGUGCGAAAGCUAGGGGAGCGAACGGGAUUAGAUACCCCGGUAGUCCUAGCCGUAAACGAUGGAUACUAGGUGUUAGUGGUAUCGACCCCACUAGUGCCGCAGCUAACGCAAUAAGUAUCCCGCCUGGGGAGUACGGCCGCAAGGUUGAA
rnacentral:rRNA from 1 species